rfam:Cyclospora cayetanensis strain CHN_HEN01 contig_1212, whole genome shotgun sequence.
GGCCUCCUUCGGGAGUGCCAUCUGUUAAGAUAGGAACGAUACAGAUAAGAUUAGCAUGGUACCUGCAAAGGCUUGAGGGGUUCCUGAGUGACUGAUUAUCGCUAGAU